UGAUACGUGUUGAUUAAAUUGUUCCUUCUCUUCUCUAGGGAGAAUAAAAGGAAACAGUACAGCAUGGUUGACUGGAAGCCUUCCUGCCCUUGGAUGUGUGGAGAGAAAGUGCACAUCAUGCCUGAAGGUCUCUGCGAUACUGAAGAGAAGGCAUUGGGGAACUAGGACUGUGAGAGAGCUGAGAGUUGAGGUGGUGGUUAGAGAAUGAAUAUUGGAGUUUUAAAUUUCUAGUGUGUUGACAAAAUUUAGGAUUGUUUUUGUUUGGAUCUGGGUGUAGGUGAAGAAUGGUAGAGGCAGUCAUGUACUGGUAAACCAGCUCAAAAAAAAAAAAAAAAGAAAAAGAAAGAAAGAACACUCCAAAUUGUAGCAUUUGUUGAUUCACCAUGACUGAUUUCAAGCUACCAAUAUUAUCAAUAUAAUAUCAUUAUGCAUGGGAUAUGAAAAAGCUAAGAAUAAUCAGCUCUCAGGAACUGGAAUGAGCUAGCUUCAACAGUGUGCUACUGAGUACUAUGGUAAAUACUUUAGUCAAGUCUCCCCCAAAGUGCCACGUGUUAAAGUCUUUGUUGCCAGCCUAGGGCACUGUUGGGACUUAGUGAGACAUUUUGGAGGUAGGGCCUAGUGGAAAGAAGUUAAGUCAUUGGGUGUGCUCUUAAAGGGGAUAUUGAGAUCUCAGCCUUUCCUCUUCAUUUCUUUUUGUUUCUUGACUGCCAUGAAAUGAACAAUUUUCUACUAUAUGCAUUUCUACCAUGAUGUACUACUAUCCAACCACAGGCCCAAAAGCAAUGGAGCCCACCAAGCACAGAGAAAUUCUGAAACCUUUUUAUCAAUUGUUUAUAUCAGGUAUUUUGCUACAGUGACCCAAAGCUGACUAAUAUACUGAGCAUGGGCAAAGGUCAUCAGAAUUACAAUUUUGUUUUUUGAGAUGGGGUCUUUUAUAUUGCACAGGCUGGCCUCAAACUUGCAAUCCUCUUGUCUCAGCUUCCUGAGUAGCUGGCAUUAUAAGCAUGCAUCAACAUAGCUGGCAUUGGAAUUAAAUAAGUAUGUGAAUC
rnacentral:lncRNA from 1 species